CAUGUACUCCCUCUGUCCGGAAAAGGUUGUCCCUCAAAUGGAUGUAUCUAGCACUAACUUGGUGCUAGAUACUACAUCCAUUUGAAAGACAAGCUUGGGACAAGUUUUUUCGGACGGAGGGACUAUAUA
rfam:Triticum aestivum genome assembly, contig: Triticum_aestivum_CS42_TGACv1_scaffold_577920_7BL